ensembl:lncRNA
GGGGACGGGGCACUCCGAGGCGAGACCACCUCGGCCCAGCCCAGGCCCUGUCGCCGCCCCACAGCCCCGAGGGAGAGACUCAACUCCACCGUGGCGGGGUACCAGACGCUCAGAACAGCUGGCCACCUGUCGGGGGUCACCCACCCGAGAAGGGCUAACAGUGCCGCCGACCCCAGACCCUCCUCUCAGACACAACGUUCAGGGCUGGACUCACCUGGCUGGUCCGCAGGUCCCCUCGGAAAGGUAGCACUGGUGGAACGCCAGCUCUGAAGCUCCCAACAAGCCACCACCCUGCUCGGUGCCUCAGUUUCUCCCGGGUACCCGGGGCGGAGUCAGCAAACGCUGCGCACGCACGCGUGGGCACGUACACGUGGGCCCGGACGCACCGCCUCUGCUAUUUGACGGACAUGAAGGAACCCAGCGCCACGCGCAUGCGUAAGGCAUCCUCCGGGGUCGGGGGCGGGUUGCCCAGUAUCUGUGCGUGACAGCCAGAGGUCCCCCCGCCCCCCAUUUUAUUAUCCAGCCCUGUCCCUCUGUCCUUACUGAACCUCAAGGCCUCCGGACCUCAAGGCUUGAUGAGAGGCAGGGGCCCUGCUCCUCUGGACCCGCACGUGCCCACCCAGCGCUGACCCCACGUGAUAGAGGAGAGACCGAGAGGUUGAGUGAGGAGCCUCAGAAAAGGCUCGUAAAUGCUAUAAUCAGCGUUAUUUGCUGCAGGUUUGCGUUUGCAGGACCCUCGGCCCCUGGCGGAGCCGGGAGAAGGAGAGGUGGGCGUGCGGAGGAACCGGUCGCAUUACUUGGUAGCUGAGUGGAUCCAUAUCAAGGGGCCUGAGUGGACAGUGAGGACCACAGUGUAGGGACCGGGUCCCCCUUCCCAUGCUCUACGCGACUGCUGUCCCCUGAGUGCUGAGCAGAGGAGAAGCUGUAAACCAAGAGGCCCAGCCCGCAGUGGAAGAUGAAGUGCUGAUGAAUGAGAGCAGGAAGGCAGAUGGUUUACUGUGUGAGCCAUCAGGGAAACCCUCUGGCCUCCAGAACUGCAGGAAAAGAAAUUUCUGUUGUCAUGCGGCGGUACUCUGUCUCUGCCACAGAAGCCAACCAAGGAGCGCUCCCGGCUCAUCGGGGCUGUCAACCACCUCUCCUGACGGACUGGCACCUCCACCAGGGCAGCGGGUGGUGCUCCGUGCCAGAGUGGCCCACAUACAGCACAUGUGCAACGAAGACCUGCUGAACGCUGGGAGGCAGGCCUCUCCUAGCCCCACCUCCCCAUCUUCCAAAACUCAGAGCACAAGGGGCUUGGGAGGCAGGACCCGGCCUCCAGGAGCUGCCCAGGUUCAGGAGGUGGCCCCGCAGCACGGCCUGCCUGCCUGCCAUGCAUGGGCUUGCUGCCUGCCUCCCACAUCCUGGGCUUCUAGACAGCACCUGUGUUCAUUCCCCUCUUUCCUCAUUUGUUUUUCAAUGACUCUUCCGGAGGCUCUGCUGUAGGUCGAACGCGGUCCCCCCCACUCAAAUUCAUCUGUUAAAUCC